AGCAGAAACAAAAUUAAAUAAACAUGUCCCACAGAGUAGGCCCGCUGGGGCAGCGAUUACCAAGGGGAAGACUCAAGAGAAGCUGGAGAAAUUGCAUUUUAAGACAACAUAAAAUUCUAAGACAACAUAACAAAGUACAGCAAGACUAUAUACCAGACUCCAGGAGGGCAUCCCUGACCCUUGAGAUGUGGGGCUUUCAAAGUGGCAUGAAUCGGGAACACCAGAUCCUGCCAGGAGUGAUUAGGAGUUAGGAUUUAGUAGCAAUACCUGCAGGAACUUAGACUCCAACCCUAUUCUCCAGCUCAGCAUUGAUGUCUGGAAGGCACUACCACCACUCCCUGGUCUUAUCAGCUGUCUGGGUCCCAGUGGUGCUCAGAGUUGAUUACUUGAAGCUCUCAGAACUGCUGGUUUUUAUGGAGGCCAGCAUGUAAGGAAUCAGUGUUAGAAAAGUAAACACUUCUCAGGGGAAAAUCCAACCAGAAAACACUUGACCUCCAGAGCUCUUGUUCACUGCUGUUAUCUUUACUCCUAGAUCCCCCCAUUUAGCCUGUGCAGCUUUGGCCUCCCAUAGCUGUUGUCUCUAUCCCUAACAUUGCUCUUGCUUCUCAUUCGGGCAUAUCCUAUGCCUUAAUGUCCAAAUGGUAGAGCUUUUAACAAUGCAAUUCUCUUAAAAACCUCAAGGGUUUCCAAUGAAACUAAUUCAAAUCUCUUCUAUGUUCCAAAAGCCUCUACCACAACUCUUUUGCAAACAUGUCCAUCUCUACAUUGAGUGUUUUACAUUUCUGUUGGAGAAGACCUGAAAAAUUUUAGAAGCUAUUUUAUCUACUUCAAAGUUUCUAUCAAACGUUCCUUUACAGAGGUCUUAACAAAGUGUCUUAACAAACAUCUUAUUGCGAUGUUUUUAUUAGCUCUUUACUCUGAAGCUAUUUAUUACUUUGAGAAUAUUGUACUGGUCUGAGAGACCACGGAUGAGUAAGUUUUAUUUUCUAACCUCAAAAUUCCUAGUCUUUCUAUAUUCCUGUUACUGCUUAAAAAUUAAACAAUUCCUUCUUUUUACUUAUCUCUCUUUCUUUCUUAGUCCAUUCAGGCUUCUAUAACAAAAUAUCAUGAACUGGGUAGUUUAUAAGCAACAGAAAUUUAUUUCUCACAGUUCUAAGGUUGGAAAAUCCAAGAUCAACAUGUCAGUUUGAUCAGGUUCUGGUGAGGGCUGACCUUCAGGUUGCAGACUGCUGAUUUCUCACUGUGUCCUCACAUGGUGGAAUGAAUGAACUCGCUCCUUUGGGCCAAUUUAUAAGGAAACUUGUCCCGCUCCUAUAUGCUCUACCCUCAUAGUUACCUCCUAAAAUUCCUCACCUACUAUUAUGAUCAUGUUGGUGAUUAGAUGUUAACCUGAAUUUUAGGGAGACGUGAACAUUCAGAUCAUACCCUUCCCAUAAAUAAUCACAAGCAGCUAAAAGAAGCCAACUGACAUUUUCAAUAUGCUUUCUAAAAAUCACCUUGCUCAAGUCUACAAGGUCAUUAAGUAAAUUUUUAAACUUCCAGGUUAUGACAGGCAACAGUUUUGCCAAACAUUUCAUAAGUACAUAACAGGAGUUGCUAUUUCUCCAUCCUCUUAGUGCCCUCAUUGUUUUUCUAGACUUUUCCAACAAUUUCCUUGCUACUUUUCCAGCUUCCACCUUCUUCCUGUUCCCAAAGCUAACACCAUGUGUUUCUGACUUGGGUAUAGCAGCAACUUCACUGCCAGUACCCAUUUGGGUUUGAGUUAGUUUCUACUAUAUAACAAAUGACCACAAAUCUUAAGACUUAAAGAGUAAAACCAAACACUGAUUUAGCUCAAAAUUGUGCGAAUUGGCUGGGAAAUCUGAUUUGAUCCACCUUAGUGGAUCUCUGAUGGAUCACUCCUGAAUCUUGUGUCACCUUGGUUUUCAGACGGCAGAUGAAAGGUCUAGGUUGGUUUUACUUACAUGUCUGGUGGUUGAUGGGUUGAUCAUUAAGGUAUCCGUUAGUCAGGUUUUUUUUUUUUUGUCACUGUGACAACUUAGAGGAGGAAAAGUUUUAUCUUGGCUCAUGGUUUCAGGAGUUCAUUCCAUGAUCAGACAGUUUCAUCACUCUGGUCUAAAGUGAGGUGGAGCAUCAUGGCUGAGGGCACAGUGGGGGAAAUCUACUCAGCUCAUGUGGGCAGGAAGCAGAGAGAGAAAGGGGAAGGGGCUGCAGGGAAGAUGAAUGCUUCCAGGGCAUGCCCCAGUGACUCACCUCCUCCAGCCAUGCUCCACCUGCCUACAGUUACCACCCAGUCAGUCCAUUAAACUAGGAUAGACUGAUUAGGUUACAGCUCUUGCAAUCCAGUUAUCACACCUCUGAACAUUCCUGCAUUAACACAGAGUUUGGGGAAGAUAAAAAGCCAUAAAAAGGUGACUGGGCCACAUGUGUUUUAUCACCUAUCAGUCUAGGCCAAGCAUCUUUAGAUAUCAAUAACAGGAUUCCAAGAGCCAUCAAAGAGUAAGAUACAAGUGCACAUGACCUGUUCGAUUUUGUUUGCUUCAUGUUUCUCACUGUCCCGUUGGCCAAAGCAAGUCAACCAUGCUUAAAAAUAAUGGUUGCCCUUACAAUUUAGUCUGUAGAUUAAUAAAGGUAGAAUGACUCAAAGAGACAUGAACGUUACAGAGUUACACGUGGUUCCCAGUGGGAUUUGGGUUUUCCCCUUUUUGGGAGAAGCAAUCCUUGUCUACAGUUGUGCAAUGGAUAAUCACAGUGUCAGGUGGAAGUGUGAUGUGGUGGUUACUAUUGACAUUUUGGAAAUUACUGCAUUCCACCUACUUACACAUACUUUUUUUUCACAUUUGGAUGCCUUUAAAAUCAGGGUAAAAAACAAUAAAUGGCAAUUCAAAGUUUAACUGGCAAAAUCUCUUCUUUAUUAAUUGCACGAGAAUUUAAUGGUUCAUCUUAUAAUUGCUUCUUAGAUUCAGUGAAAUACAAAUAUGGUGAAUUAACUGUGGGUAGGCUGUUCCAGAUUGUUUUCAACUCUGCCUUAUACCAAUGUUUUUUCUUUCUCCUGGUUCACAAGGGAGGAACCAGGGAUCUAUAUUUCCUAGCUUUUGGGGUUUAUUUUGACAACAGGAGGUGAUGGCAUAAAGUUUUGAAGGUUGAAGAGAAAGAGGACAUGGCAAUAAAUAGAAUUGUUCUCCCCCCCCCAAAAAAAGACAAUACAUGAGACUUUCAAACAGACUCUAAAAUUCUGAUUAACUCUUUUUUCUUCUCUAUUUUUAUUUUUUCUCUUUCUUUUUUGUUCUUUUUAGAUAUGCAUGACAGUAGAGUGUAUUUUGACAUAGGCAUAGGAUAGACUGAUUAGAAUAGCUUAUUCUAAUUAGGGUCUCAUUCUUGCAGUUGUACAUGAUGUGGAGUUUCACUGGUUGUGUAUUCUUAAAUGAACCUAGGAAAGUUAUGUUCAAUUCAUUCUACUGUCUUUCCUAUUCCCACCCCCCUCUUCCCUUCAUUUCCCUUUGUCUAAUCCACCAAACUACUCUUCUUCUACUCCCCACACCCUCAUUGUGUGUUAUUAUCUGCAUAUCAGAGAGAACAUUUGACCUUUGGUUUGGGAGAUGGUCUUAUUUCACUUAGUAUGAUAGUCUCUGGAUCCAUCCAUUUACCCACAAGUCAUAAAGUCAUUUUUUUAUGGCUGAGUAAUAUUCCAUGGUGCAUAUAUACCAUGAUUUUUUAUGCAUUCAUCUGUUGAAGGGCAUCUAGCUUGGUUCCAUAGCUUAGCUAUUAUGAGUUGAGCUGCUAUACACAUUGAUGUGGCUGCCUCACUGUAGUAUGUUGAUUUUAAUUCCUUUGGGUAUAUACCAAGGAGUGAGAUAAUUGGGCCAGAUGGUUGUUCCAUUCCAAGUUUUCUGAAGAAUCUCCAUACUGCUUUCCAGAGUGGUUACACCAAUUUGCAGUCCCACCAGUAAAUAUAUGAGUGUACCUUUUUUCCCACAUCCUUGCCAAUAUUUAUUGUCAAUUGUAUUCUUGAUAACUGCCAUUGUGACUGGAGUGAGAUUCCAUCUAAUCUAAUGCAAUAAUUAAAUUCAUUAAUUGUUUAAUUUGAAAUAGUUUUAAUUUGCAUUUCUCUAAUUGCUAGAGAUGUUGAACAUUUUUUCAUUUAUUUGUUGACUAUUCAUAUUUCUUCCUCUGUAAAGUUCCUGUUCAGUUCCUUUGCCCAUUUAUUGAUUGGGUUAUUUGUUGGAUUUGGGUUUGUUUUUUUUGGGGGGGGUUUAAGUUUUUGAGUUCUUUAUACAUCCUGGAGAUUAAUGCUCCAACUAUCUGAGGUGCUCUUGACUUCUGAGAAUAGGAGAGAACAGUUUCAUGGUAGCCAGAGAAUUUGUCUUCAUUACAGAGUUCCACCUGGGGAGUUGUGCUCUCUGCCUGGUGGAUUUUCAACAGAUGUACUCUGGGCAUUGAUUAGUCAGCAUGCUCAAAAGUGAUACCCGCUCCAUUAUAUUCUCUUUCUCUACCAAGGAGUGAGAUAAUUGGGUAGAUGGUAGUUCCAUUCCAAGUUUUCUGAGAAAUCUCCAUACUCAAGUUCUCCAUCUCAAGUUCUCAUAUGUAAUUGUGGGGAUUGAAAUCCCAGGGUUCAUCUCUUUUUUUUUUCUCUUAACAACAUAUGCAUGCAUAUCUAUGUAACCCCAAUGUCCUUUGGCUUCUGUAGACUGGAUAAAAAAUGAGUUGCAUUCUAUUUGUUCACACUUACAUUUUGUGGUUAGUAGUUCUCAUCUCGUACCAGCUCAGCCCCUUCCUUAACCCCUUACUCUUACACCUAUAUGUUGGGCAUCUCUAAGGACAGUUCAAGAACAAGACCAAUGUCGGGAGAUGCCACAUAGGAAACAAGCGUCCCUUAGCCUUGAGUGAUGAGAAUGUGGAGAUGCGGCAAGCCAGCCAUGGGCUGUGUGUAUCUGAACUAUGAGCAUUGAGCACACAAAGUGGACUGAACCAACGUUGCUCCUCUGUUUGGGUGAGCUUUGCUCUGGUCUUUACACUCGCUCUGCCAUGAUCUCCACACAGCUCAUGAGAUGGGCUAGAUGUCAGUCAAUCUGUUGACAGCAGACAUCAUGAAGCUAGACUCAACUCCCUGAAACCCGAUCCCUUGCUUCAUUUGAAUGGCUUCUCCUCAAUAAAAGGGUUCAGCACAUUCUCUGUCUCUCUCUCUUUCUAUGGACCCCUAAAGUCAGAGAAGCCAUUACAGGACUCAAAGAAAAAGGUAUUUGUCUGUCUCUGCAUGGUUAUUUCAUGCAGCCCAGUUCACCUGGAGUGACCUUCAGUGUUUAGUCAUGGAAUGCGACAGACCAACCCAUGUCCUUCCUACAUGGCCGACCUGAUGUGGUCUGCUCAAAUGGCUCAAGCCCAGCACACUCUUUCCAGGUGCUCACCAACAUGAAAGACCCUUCAAGGGCAAUGAUGGUACUGAUUGUCAUCAAUCUUCACUCUAUUUGUCACAUGAUGUCCUGGGAAGAAACAGCCUGAGAGAGACAAAAUGCCUCCUCUGACAGAGUUCUGAGGUGUGAGGUAUGCGCUAGAGAACACAGGCAGAAAACCACAUCUUCCAUCUCUCUCUGUUUCUAACCUAGUCAUCCUUUACUUCUCCCUGGAAGUCUCACCCAAUUCAUUCAAAGUAGGCAGUCAAGUUGACAGAAUGAGGAGCAAAUGGGAAUAGAUCUACCCAAAGGAACGAGGACAUUUCCAUAGAUGAACUGAGCCCAGCAAUGAGACCUUGAGGUUAGAGGAGUGGACACUGAGCAGGUUUGAAGACUGCACCCUGGAUUUGUCCCAGCCUUUGUGGACCAUGCCUGAGUUAGUGAGGCCCUGGGGAAAAGGAAAAGGCCAACGGAAAGUUUUUCAUUAAAAACUGAAAGGUGGGAGGGCUGGGAGAGUGCCAGGUAGAGUGCUUGCCUGGCACUUGUGAGAUGCUGGGUUCAAUCCUCAGCACCACAUAAAAUACAAAACAAACAAAUUAAUUAAGGUAUCGUAUCCAUCUACAACUAAAAAAAUACUUAAAAAGAAAACCUGAAAUGUGGAAGAAUCUGGAAGUCAAACUGCCAUGUCAAACUGAAUUCUCCAUCCAGCACCCUUCAAGUUCCUGGUCACUGUUACCCCCAGUGUAUGCUCCAAGACACACAAUUUAGGAACAUUGAUAUGCCUAACUGAAAUUUUGAUUUAUUAUAAAAUAAAAAUAUUAAUAAUCAAAUUUGCCUGAAUUGCUUUAUAGAAUUUGUCAAAAAAUCUAUGAAUGGAGUGUGGGGAAUUUGAGAAAUGUCUGGGUUGUCUUUGAAACUUUUCUGAAAACCUAAAACUAUUUUAUAUCAAAAGUUUAUUAAUCAAAAAUAUCUAUUGAGAGGGCAGGUAUUUCCCAUAACUACUCCUCAACUGGACUCAAAAGGCCAAGUUACAUGGACUUUGGAGUUAUACAGAUAAGAGAUAAAAUCUAAGGUUGGUGGUAGAGUGCUGGCCUGGCAUGUGUGAGGCACCAGGUUCAAUUCUCAGCAUUACAUAAGAAUAAAUAAAAUAAAAGUAUUAUGUCCAUCUAUGAUUAAAAAUUAAAAAAUAAAAAUAAAAAUAAAAAUCUUAGCUCUGGUAUUUCUUUCUUGAUAUCAUGGUCAGUUUGAACAUAUUUUCUAAGGUUUAAAUUCCUCAUAUAAGAAAUAGGCAUAGCGGCUGGGGAUGUAACUCAAUGGUAGGGUGCUUUCCCAGCAAGUGCAAAGCUCCAUGUUUAAUCCCUAGUAACCCCCAACACACAUGCAGAAAAGAACAACGGUUCCUUCUUUGGGGUUUGCUUCUGUUAAAUGGAAAAAUAGAGUUGAACUUCCCAAGAGUCUGUCACAAGGUUAACUCACCCCAUGACUUUUUCUUCCCUGCAGCAGGAGCACAUGCCCCUUCUCAUCCAAAUGUGGUCAAGAAAGAUGUGCGACAAAUGGAGUUGACUGAGGCAAAAUGGAGUCAGUCGAAGUCACCAUGAAUUGUGAGAGUUCCCAGCAGCUGUGUCCAGAAGUCAAACCUGAACAGGGGAAGCUAAUACUCUUAAAAUCAUGGUGAGAAGAAUAUUUUUUCAGGUACUAGGGAUUAAGCCAAGGGGUGAUUUACCACUGAGCUAUAUCCCCAGCCCUUUUUAUCUUUUACUUUGAGAUACGUCUCACUAAGUUGCCAAGACUGUCCUCAAGCUUGUGAUCCUCCUGCCUCAGCCUCCCUAGUAGCUGGAAUUACAGGUGUGCACGACUACACCUGGCUCCCCCACCUUUUGAUAGUUGCUUUGGUUGGCUGAAGCUCAGUCUCCAGUAGAUUCCUCAGGAAGCUCUCAUGGGAACAUUAUCCCUGUCUUCUCCAAUACCACCUAAUUUCUUCCUCAAGUUUCCCCUGAGUAGAAACCUCUUGGCUCUGAUGGGUGCUGGUGGUUUGUCCCUGCCCACCCAUUCAUAAUUUGGAGUUUGAGAAUAUACUAUGCCUCUAAUUUUGUUGUCUAUGUGUUCUGAAUUUUGUUAUUUUAAUUGUUUUGAAUGUUUUUAAUGGGGGAGGGGAUUUUAGAAGAUUCAAAAAUUAUGCCCACAUUGCAGAAUCAAAACUAUCUUCCCAGACUCUGUAUUUUAACAAUUUCCACCUUCUGCCUUGGUGGAGUAUCCAUUCAAUCCUUUUGCACUUUUUUUUAUUAGGUUGUCUAUAAUUUUCCUACUGAUUUAAAAGGGAUUUUGGAUACAACUAGUGUAGUCUACCUGUAACCACAAACACUUCCCCCAAUGGGUCUUCCCUUUUCAUUCUCUUAAUUGUGUCCUUCAAUGAGGAAAAAUUCCUUGAUUUUAAUGAGAUCUGGUUUAACUAUUAUUAUGAUCAAUAGUGUUUCUGUAAUAUUUAAGAAAUCUUUGCCUAUUCCAAGACUAGAACUAUUUCCUACAUUAUCUUCUAGAUUAUUUUAUCUUUCACAUUUAGUUUCAUGAUCUGUUGGGAACAGAAUUUUGUUUGGCCUAGGAGUCAAGGUUCUUUUGUGUGGAUACUUUAUGUGGACAAUGCAGUUAAUCCAGUCACCUUGAUUAAAAAGGGCUUUCUUUCCCCAUCUGUUUGCUUUGCAGUGGUUCAUUUGUCAUAAAUUAGGAGAUUGCAUGUUUUUGACACAUUGGUUAGUCUGCCAUCGUGCACCAACACCACACUGUCCCCAUUUACUGUCUCAUUAUUAGUCUUAGUAAAGGGUAACUGAGUUCUGCAACUUUGCUUAAGAUUGUCUUAUUAUUGCCUUUUGGAAUUUUCAUUUCAGUCUUAGAAUCAGCCUAACUUCAUGAAAAAAGUCCUUCUAAUAUUUGGCUGAUUAUUCGAAAUUUAUAGUUCAGCUUUGGGAAAACCAAAAUCUUUAUAGUAUUAAAUCUUCAAAUCUGCACAAUUUUGCUAAUUUACUCCUAGGUAAUUGAUGGGUUUUGGGUUAUUAUAAAACAUAUUGAAAUUUUUUAUUUUAUACUUAAGAAAAGACUUAAAAAUUUUUUAAUGAAAUUAAAAACUUUCCUUGUGUCAGGCACCUGGUGCACUAGUGCAGAAAAAACAGGGUUGUAGGGGAAAGAAAUGGAACCACAGGAAGGACUAUGGCCUCAUUGUUCCCCUGUCCAUUGAGGCAAACCCACCUGAAACUAAUUAAGGGUUUGGUGCUACCUGGUUUUUCACAAUUGUGUGGCCAUGCAAAAAUGGGACAGAAAUAUAUCCAAAUGCUUGAGAUCUCCUUCUGCUCUUGCACUUCCUGUUAUUCAUGAGACUCUUACCCAACAUUUUCAAGUAUUAGAAUCCUGGAAGAGGCUGGGCACGGUGGCACACACCUAUAAUCCCAGCAACUCAGGAGGCCGAAGCAGGAGGAUUGCAAGUUCAAAGCCAGCCUCAGCAAAAGUGAGGCACUAAGCAACUCAGUGAGACCUUGUCUCUAAAUAAAAUACAAAAUAGGUCUGGGGAUGUGGCUCAGUGGUCAAGUGAUCCUGAGUUCAAUCCCUGUUACCCUAAAAAAAAAUCCUGGAAGAUUUUAUGUGCAUUCUUAACCAAUGCACAUUUAAGCUUCUCUAAUAACUUAGGUAUCAAGAGAUUCUCAUAGAACUAAAAUAUUUCCAUGCAUCCUUGAUUGUUUCCUCAGGGAAUAUUCCUUGAAAUGUUUCUGGCUUCAAGAGCAUGCAUGUUUGUUUGUUUUACAUCCAAAGAUAAACUGCCUAAAUGCUUUUUAUGAGGAUAUAUUUUUCAUGCCAAAAGUUUGCUCAACCCUCAAAUGCUGAAUAAAGUUUAAUUUUCACUAAUGACAAUAAUAAUUUUAUAUAAGUUUACAGUUUUAAAUCACAUGCUUUAAAAAAACUUUAGUUAUAUUCGUGAAAUACUUACUUGUUUUUAGGGAAUGUUUCAACAAUCCUUUGCAAUAAGAUAGCACCCCUAGACUGGGAAAAGAAUGACAGAAUACAUAUCAAGCAACUUCUUUGUGCUAGAUCUUUUUGAAAACAUUAUUUUGUUAACCUUGAGGACAUUCUAUGACGUGGAUAUUCAUAUCACCCCAUUAUUCAGAUGAGGAAACUGAGGAAUAAGCCAAAUGCUAUUUCCUUUUGUUUACAUUGUUAUGAUGACAUUCUACCCUCUUCCCGGAGUCACCUGGUCUGCACUGCAAAUGUUGACACCAGGAGAACACUGUAGUGUCCAAAGGAAAAAUCUUAGACUAAUAAAGUUUACUUGAGCAUUUAUAAACAAAAUAGAACAAAACGAAAGAAUUCACAAAUUAAAGUGGGUUCUGAGAACCCCAACCAAUAACAUGAUCUGACAGCAUUUAUAGGAAGCAGGAAGCACCAUGUAGAAACAAUAUAACUGGUUACAACUUCCUUGGUUAAUUUGUUUCUAGAGUCUCCAGCAAUUUACUAAAGCUCAACUACUAUAGCUAAACUCCAUAUUUGUUUGGUUGUUAGGUUUAGCGUAGGAUCUUAGUUCAAAUCAAUGGCUUCCCCCUGAAUUUUUUUAACCAUACCUAACAAUGUCCCUCAAUUUGUGCUAAACUGGUGCCAGCCACUCCCUCCAGCAGAACUCAGGCAAUUGGCUCAGGAGCAAAGCAGUGAUGGCAGCCUGCCCCAUUGCGCCAUCUUUUGGCUAUCACUCUCCAGUGCAUGACCUUUCCACUCAUACUGGUAAUCCAUGCCAGGGCAGAUGAGUAAGUAUCUGUAAAUCUCAUACUUUUACCUUUAAUCUUCAUAACACCUUUUUGAAAUAAUUAUUAUCCUUAUUUAAGAUACAUGGGAAUUUGGUCUUAGAGAGGUAACGUGCUUGUUUCACAUCAGGCAGUUGGAAAAUUGCAAAGCUUGUCUCUGCCUCCAAAGCCAAAACACUUUCUAGCAAACCUGCUGUCUCCCAAUUGAACUAAUAAUGAAUACCUACUAUCUACAUGGUUCUGAGUUUUUUUUCUAAACCAAUUACCAGAAAGAAAGAAAGAAAAAAGCACCUGGCAUCUUUGCACAAAGAGACCACAAGUGUGUGUCCAGGCAGGUGGCUGCUGACCAUUCUUGACUCAUUCUUACAGCCACACUCUAUUUGGGUCCAUUUCUUUCUGCCCAGAGUCACCUUUUCCUGCUCUCUGCAAAGUCCAGUGAGGGUCAGCACGUUCUUCCCAAUGGGUCUCCUAUGGUUGGCUGGACUUCCUCCAUAAACCCCUUCUCUUCCCCCAAGUAGGGCCCCAUGGCUUCAUCCACGAGGGCUUCUGACUGAGGGCAGCUACUCCUAGGGCUGUCAUCAUUGUCCUUUCAGCACUACUACUGACCCCAAUUAAAUAAAAGGAGUAAAUAACUGUAAAGUUGUAGACAUUAAAUGUAAAACCCAGUACUCUUACUUUAAGACUGGUGAAACUGACUUGCUGGAUAUUUCAGACCAAAACUUGGAGCGUAAAGUUAAGAAAUAAAGGGGCCAAGAAAGAAAAUAAGCAACAUUUGGCUCUUGCCCUCUGAGGUCAGCUUGAACCCAGGGAACAAGGGGACUUCUCUAAGGGUUUUGUGACUCUGGGCCACAAGUCCUCCUGAUCAGGGAUAUUAAUGAGACCCUGGAGAACAGAAGGCUGACCAGUGCACAUGCUGCAAAGAGGAGGAUUGUUGGAGAAGGCAACAUCCCUGAUGGUUCCAAGGGAAGCCACAUGGUUAAGGAUACCCUGACCCAUCCUGGAAGAUGGCACUAAAGGAGAUAAGAAGCUGCUCUCCAGUUCCCAAGAGUAACCCCCUGUGGGAACUCAGUAGGAACAAGGUCAAUAUGACCAGCUUGGUCUUAAACACCUAACAAAAACAGUUAUAACAAAAGUACAGCCAUAUCUGAGCAUUUAAAAGAAAAGACAACAGCUCUUUUAAUGGAACUUAAGACACACACUUCCCACAGCUAUGGUGUCCCCCAAAUUCUGAGACAUUUUUCCUUUGCAAGAUUCAUAUUUACCCCUGCCUACCAAAAAUUGGACUGGCCUCUGUACCUUAGUGUUUUUCACUCCUUAAAUUGAUGUUUUACCUAACAACCAAAAUUUGCCUAUUCAGAUAAAAGUGCACAGCAGACACAAGAGAGUCCUUCAGUGUAUUCCCUUAUUCAUAGGGUUAGAGAUAUCUGUUGGAAUUGGCACAGGAGCAGCAGGAUUAGGAACCUCUAUUCACUACUAAAAAAAAUUGUUAUAACAGGUUUUGAAGACAUCCAGCAGGUGGCUGACUCAGUACUGACUUUACAAAACCAAUUGGACUCUUUGGCAUCUGUUGUACCGCAAAAAUGUUGGGGCUUAGAUCUCCUCACUGUCAAACAUGGUGAACUCUGCCUCUUCCUGAGGGAGAAUGCUGUUUCUAUGUAAACCAAUCAGGAUUGGUAAGAGACAAGGUUUAAUAGCUCCAGCACUGCCUGGAACAGCAGAGACGAGAACCAGCUGAUUCUUGGGGGUCCUCACUGGGGGAUCUAAAACAAUGGAUCUCCCAGUAACUUCCUCUUAUAUCCCCCUUAAUAUUCAUCUUUUAAUAAUAACCUUUCUUCCCUGUAUUCUUAAUUUCAUACAGAGACAGCUUCUUAGUUAGGUGACCCAUUUAGCUCAAACUGCUUCCCAGCCAUUCUCCUUCUGUGCUCACAAUCUGAGUUCCUGAAACCACAAAGAGAAAAGGUGCCUAUGAUGACCUCAAGGCUCCUUCCAUGUAUACUCCUCUUCAGCCUCAACCACUUGGAUCCUACAAGAAUAUAAGACACCCCAUACCUCUGUAUUCUCUCCUGGAUUUCUUAAGGGGAUUAGGUCCCCCUACUUCACCCCUUUUCAGCAGGAAGCAUCCAGAUAUGAUACUGAUGCCCCUAUUCGUUGUCCCCUUUCAGAGUCUGGAAGGAAGGAUAUGGAGAAAAACAACCCCCAAGGAGAAAGGGAGAGAUGGGCUCUGAACUUGUUGCAAUUUUCCUUAUCUACAACCAUUCCCCUGACUGCCCAAGGUCUCCCUCCAACACAUUUCCUUCUAGGACUCAGCUCCUCUAAACCCUAUAAAACUCAGACAUUUAUUGUAGCCAGUUGCCAUUUUCCCUCUUGAAAAUGUGUCCUUCUGCUGCUUAAUAAAGCAUUGCUGAUUUACUGA